rnacentral:rRNA from 1 species
UGAAUACGAGACGCUAAGGCGUCGAAGUAGUGUAUGUCAUACUUCCAAGAAAAGCUUGCACUGUCAUAGAUAAAAAACGCCUGUACCAUAACCGACACAGGUGGGUAGGUAGAGUAUACUAAGGGGCGCGAGAUAACUCUCUCUAAGGAACUCGGCAAAAUAACUCCGUAACUUCUGGAGAAGGAGUGCCUUAUUCGUAAGGUUGCAAUAACAAGAUCCAAGCAACUGUUUAUCAAAAACACAGGUCUCCGCUAAGUCGUAAGACGAUGUAUGGGGGCUGACGCCUGCCCAGUGCCAGAAGGUUAAAGAAGUUGGUUAGCAAUUGCGAAGCUGAUAACUGAAGCCCUGGUGAACGGCGGCCGUAACAAUAACGGUCCUAAGGUAGCGAAAUUCCUUGUCGGGUAAGUUCCGACCCGCACGAAAGGCGUAAUGAUUUGGAUACUGUCUCGGAGAGGGGCUCGGUGAAAUAGACUUGUCUGUGAAGAUGCGGACUACCUGCACCAGGACAGAAAGACCCUAUGAAGCUUUACUGUAACUUGAAAUUGAAAUUGGACUUUAUUCGCGCAGUAUAGGUGGGAGGCGUUGAUUAUAAUCUUGUGGGAUUAUUGGAGCCAUCAGUGAGAUACCACUCUUGUAAUGUUAGAUUUCUAACUUUGAAUCAUUAUCUGGUCAAUGAACAGUUUCAGGCGGGCAGUUUGACUGGGGCGGUCGCCUCCUAAACGGUAACGGAGGCGUACAAAGGUUUCCUCUGAACGGUUAGAAAUCGUAUCUAGAGUGUAAAGGCAUAAGGAAGCUUGACUGUGAGACCUACAAGUCGAGCAGGGACGAAAGUCGGUCUUAGUGAUCUGACGGUACUGAGUGGAAAGGCCGUCACUCAACGGAUAAAAGUUACUCUAAGGAUAACAGGCUGAUCUCCCCCAAGAGUUCACAUCGACGGGGAGGUUUGGCACCUCGAUGUCGGCUCAUCGCAUCCUGGGGCGGUAGUACGUCCCAAGGGUUGGGCUGUUCGCCCAUGAAAGCGGUACGCGAGCUGGGUUCAGAACGUCGUGAGACAGUUCGGUCCAUAUCCGGUGUAGGCGUUAGAAUAUUGAGAGGAGCCUUCUUUAGUACGAGAGGACCGAGAAGGACAUACCUCUGGUGUACCAGUUAUCGUGCCAACGGUAAACGCUGGGUAGCUAUGUAUGGAGUGGAUAACCGCUGAAAGCAUCUAAGUGGGAAGCCCACCUCAAGAUAAG